CAACAAUUGCAGUUAGGCUGUAGUGCAAACUAUUGGAGUUUGCUCAGCAAGCCAUGGAUUAAAAGAAUCCUAUUUUAAAAUAAGUAAUUGUAGCCAAUUUAUGGCACUAAAAUCACUUUAAUCCUGCCUCAAUUAUUUGUUGAUCUUGUGUUUCUGUCUGUCUGGCAGACCUUAACACUACAGGAAAGGCAAGAAGUUAAUCAAAUAAUGAUAGAUCCUUGAUUGGCAAAUGAUAUAUAGUAGAGUGCAUUAAGCAGAGCAGAGGGAGGAUACAGGAGGGACAAAUCGUUACACUGAACUAAAGUUGUAUUUAAGAAUUUACUUUGAGCAUUAUCAUUUGCUUUGGGUGUUGAUUAUGACCUAUAAAGCCCAUGGGCCAGGUUACCUGCAGAACCAUCUUUGCCCUGUCCUGACAUUGCCCUGUCCUGUCAUGCAGAGAAAGUAUGUUGCUGAUUCAGAAGAAUUCCAACUGGCGAGGUCCAAGAAGAGGACCAGACCUUCCAUCGACCCCUCCCUGUGAAACAUUCUUCUCCCAGAAGUGAGGUGGGCUUCCACUCUCCUGGCUUUCCAGAAAAAUGUAAAAAUACAGCCCUGUGGCCCUCCUUGCUUGGGGCUCACAUAGGACUAUGCAGCCAUAGGGCUGGCUAAUGGCCUUUCCAAGUGGGUAGAAAGACACUAGAAACAUGGAAGCUGUUUGGAAAAAGGUUUCCUUGAUGAACAGAACCACAUGGGCUUGAGGUCCUGGUGCAGCUGAACACACGGAGUGGAGAGUGAGAGGUCGCAAAAAAGGAUCACAUGAUUCCGGGACACCACAACCGUCAUAAGUACAUGCCAGCUGCCAAGCAUGCAAAUUUUGACCACGUGACCAUGGAGAUGUUGCAAUGGUUGUAAGUGUGAAAAACGGUCAUGUCGCCUUUUUCCAGUGAUGUUGUGACUUCGAAUGAUCACUAAACAAAUGUAAAUUAAAUUAAGGACUACAUGUAUUGUGAUAUCAUUUUCUUUCAGGUUAGUAAGUAGUGACAUCUAGUGGUCAGUGUGACAGCUGUGAUUCCUUUUCCGUUACCAUCAUAGUCGUUGCAAACAAUCAUACAGUGUGCAUAUGUGCUUGUGUGCAGGGUAGCCUCCAGAUUUGUGGAUUUCCUCUCCCAGAAUUCCCCAUCCAGAAUUCUGGGAAUUGGUCUAUGCAUCUGCAAGCAUUCAGUACAGGAAAUGGGUAGAUUAUUGUCAAGGACACCCAUCUUGUCCCUUUAGGUUCCUAAUGAAAUCUGUAAGCUGAUUAUAUGUGUGCAUAAAGAUAGAUUCAUAUAGAUUCCAAAUUGAUGAGGCUAUAACACUAUAUAGCAAAGUACAUUUCCCAUCUGCAGAGCAUCUUUGUAGCUGCUGUGAACAUGUGAGUAUUAGACUCAAGGGCCUAGGCCUGUUUUUUUGCAGAGCUAUUCUAAGUUCCCAGACCUCUGACCUAAUUCAUGUGGCUUUCCUAUUGAUGUAGCCUUUGGUCAUAACCCAUUUCCUUCAAGACUCUGUCAGUGGCCAAUGGGAUGUUGAUGGAGGAAUCACUAGAACUUUGUCCUGAGACUGCCUGUCGGUGGCCAUAUCAGUGAACUCAUUCAUCUCUAGAGGAAAUGUGUUGGUUGGAGCCAAUGAGAAUGCUUUGUGCAGCUUAAGGGUGACCAUAUAGGAAGAAAAACAGGAAAGUGAAAGAAGAUAAGGAAAAGUGCCUGGAAGGGAUAGUUUACAAUGAAGAGAGACACCAAAAUUCCUGUAUUUUGCAGAGCAGACAUAGUGGUGUUGGAGGAAACAGUUCAAGACAACUCAGAAAUGAGACUUAUUGGGUCAAGGAAAUAUUACCCUCCCAACUCCACCUGUAUCUAUAAACUGAGAUUCGGGCCUGGGUAGUUAAAUGGAAACCAAAUUUAAAAGUUUCUCACAGCACAGAUCUAAAUGUGCACCCGCACAUGCACACACACAUAUACACACUCAAGCACACAUCAUGAUGCACUGUAUGUGGGGCUACUCUUGAAGGCCUCCCAGAAACUCUAACUGGCCUAGAAGAAGCUUCGUGGAUGAGAAGCGAAACAUCUUCAAAGAAAAACCAGAAAGUCCAGUUGCCUCUUGAAAAAAACACCUUUGGGACAACUAUGACCUGGAUGACUUAGAACAGGGAUCAGCAACCCGCGGCUCCAGAGCCACUUACGGCUCUUUCCACCCUCUCCUGUGGCUCCCUGUUGGCUGAUCCCACCACUGGCUGUCCCCUCCCCUCUCCUUGCAGUCAUUCCUUAUCUGGCCU